rnacentral:sRNA from 1 species
CACAAAUAUUAGCAAAAGUGGGAGGCACUUUUCGUGGCGGAGGCGGAGCCAUUUUGCAAUUUAAAUUUUCAUGAACAAGCUCCAGCGCCAUUUGUCGCUGUCGUUCUGGUUGUCCUCAAUGUCUGGGUGCCCAUCCCCAGCGCGCUUUUCCCUUAACAGUUUUCAAUUUUCCCGCUUACUUGUAAGCGCAGCUGCCAGAGAUACUUCCGAAGGAUACCCCGCACUCCACUCCACCCCGGCGAAGAGCUUAUGUUUCUUCAGAGGAUGUGGAUUCCCAUUCCCAAGGUAAAUGUGCGGAGAAAGUGGGCUUCCCAGGGAAAAGGAUUUGAGAAAGGGCGAUAUAUCUUUCGGAGUGGGUUAGCGGUGGGCUUUUGCAGUCUUCAAUGCUCCAAAAAUCGAAUAAACCACGCGACUGAUGCAUCUGAUUCAAUUACAAGGGCAGCGCCCGAAAUUAGUAGACAUUAAUAUAACAACGGAACGCGCGCUGACCUAUUAACCCAGCGCGCCCAACCCCAACCCCAUGCCACUCAUGACGCAUCAUUAGAGGGAAAUGGCAACGAAAUUAAAGGAAAUUACCGCAAGGAAGGGUCCAAGGAGAAGAUGUGGCAAAUGAGGCACACAUUUAUUUGAAUGUAAUCCAUUAUGAAAUCGCAUAAUGAAGAGAUUAGCACACGCAUUCGCACAGCCCAGACCGCAAUUAAUAAAUGACCCGACAAAAGGACAAGCCAAAGAGAAAGGAAAGGAAAGGACCUCCUCUGUCUGCCAUUGCGUGCCAAAGAAAUCCAAUAAAUUAGGCAAACGGUAAUCAUUAGUAUUAGUUUAGGCACACACAUAUGACACUCGCGGAUAAAUCAGAGGAAAAGUUCUACGAAGGACUUUAAGAAUUAAUACGCGGUCGAUUUUUUGGGUAGAAGUAAACGUGCCGCGACCUCAGGAUAAUCCAAGUCUCACUGGAAAAGAGAGGGAGAGAGGGCGGGAAAAUUAUGUCGAGCAUUAUAAAGAUAAUGAAUUGAAGGACCCUCAUAAAUUUCACGUUAAACAAUAACUCAACAGCAUUAUUAUUUCGAUGAAGCAGCUGCUGGCCGCUUAUUAACCCAUUGAUGACCCCCAGUCCCUCCCCCUUGUCUUUGUAUAGGGACUCUUUUUUGGGAACAAUGUGCCCGACUUUGCACUUCAUUUAACUUUUCGACUUGCCGGGCCCCAAGGACGUUUGGCAGAUGCGAGCGAUUCUCUGGCUCGCUCUCUCAUCGAUAAUUAACCGCAAAAACUUGGCACGCAACGGGUCAGAGUGAGAGAGAGAGAGUGGUGGGGGGAGGGGGUCAAAAGGGGGUCACUCUGUCUGAGCCUAAAGUAUAAAGGGGUUAAUGGUAUGGCACAAAGUUUAAUUAAAAAUACGUGCUGUGGCCUUUUGGUGCUUGCAGGAUGCUGCCUCGGCCUUUUGUUUGCUUAAAGUGAAACUCGCUGCGAAAUCCCGGGGCCAAAGUUGAAAGGAAAAUUAUAAGCGGCUUUUCCGAGAAGGUUUUGAUUAGUUGAUUGGACCAUAAAGAACAGGAAAAAAUGGAAAGAAAAGACCAGAAAAGAAAGGGUAAAUGAUUAUUUAUAGAUAGGCGGGGAUUAUAGAAAAUAGAAGGUAAACAAUGAGAAGCGGCAUAAGUGCAACAGUUUUGGGAGGCACCAAGAAGAAAGAAAUGAAUACCUUUACUGAUUGAGACUUAAUCAGAGAUACUAGUAAUGGCAUACAUUUUGGGAAAA